rnacentral:pre_miRNA from 1 species
GAGACACCCUUAUGGGGCAGGACUUGCUUCAGUGGGGCUUUGGUGCUCACUGAGUCUGCCCCCUAAGUGUGUCUCU